UACGGGGGGGGCAAGCGUUGUUCGGAAUUACUGGGCGUAAAGGGCUCGUAGGCGGCCAACUAAGUCGGAUGUGAAAUCCCCAGGCUUAACCUGGGAAUUGCAUCCGAUACUGGAUGGCUUGAAUCCGGGAGAGGGAUGCGGAAUUCCAGGUGUAGCGGUGAAAUGCGUAGAUAUCUGGAGGAACACCGGUGGCGAAGGCGGCAUCCUGGACCGGCAUUGACUCUGAGGAGCGAAAGCCAGGUGAGCAAACGGG
rnacentral:rRNA from 1 species